rnacentral:lncRNA from 1 species
GCACUUUGUACAGAGACCCGGGCGUGACUAGGGCGCCUCUGGCGCUGGGGUUCCGGCCCUGGGUCCCACCGAGGCUCCCUGAAGCUGGAAGGUGAGAGUAUUAGGGUGAAGCGGUCUUCAGAUCUCAGCACGGUGUCUUGGUGACGAUGAAAAUAAGAGAGCCUCUUCCUGAUUGUUUUCUGCGGGCCAGGCCAGGCGCUUCUCACAAACUCUGAGGAGGCCAGCUCACAUACUCCCCCCGCCUCACAAAUGAGACCGAGAUGCAGGGGGGUUACGUAAUCUGUUCGCCUGUAACACGCUAGUCAGUAACAAGGCGAAAACUUGAACCCAAGUCCCCGACACCAUAAAGCAGGCGGGUCCUGGGGCCCAUGGGAACUCUUAAACCUGGAAGGAAUUUGAGUUGGCAGUGCGAAAUCCUGAGCACUGCCUGGCAUAUAGUAAGACUUCAAUCAAGUUGGACAUUCUGGUAAUGAUUGUGUACCUAAUUAUAAGAAUCACGGUGGCUCACGCCUGUAACCCCAGUACUUUGGCAGGCUGAGGUGGGUGGAUCACUUGAGGUCACGAGUUUGAGACCAGCCUGGCCAACAUGGUAAAACCCUGUCUCUUCUAAAAAAAAAA